rnacentral:rRNA from 1 species
AACGAACGCUGGCGGCAUGCCUAACACAUGCAAGUCGAACGAGACCUUCGGGUCUAGUGGCGCACGGGUGCGUAACGCGUGGGAACCUGCCCUUAGGUUCGGAAUAACUCCCCGAAAGGGGUGCUAAUACCGGAUAAUGUCUUCGGACCAAAGAUUUAUCGCCUUUGGAUGAGCCCGCGUUGGAUUAGCUAGUUGGUAGGGUAAAAGCCUACCAAGGCGACGAUCCAUAGCUGGUCUGAGAGGAUGAUCAGCCACACUGGGACGGAGACACGGCCCAGACUCCUACGGGAGGCAGCAGUGGGGAAUAUUGGACAAUGGGCGAAAGCCUGAUCCAGCAAUGCCGCGUGAGUGAUGAAGGCCUUAGGGUUGUAAAGCGCUUUUACCCGGGAUGAUAAUGACAGUACCGGGAGAAUAAGCUCCGGCUAACUCCGUG